AGUGAACGCUGGCGGUAGGCCUAACACAUGCAAGUCGAACGGCAGCACAGUAAGAGCUUGCUCUUACGGGUGGCGAGUGGCGGACGGGUGAGGCAUACAUCGCAAUCUACUUUUUCGUGGGGGAUAACGUAGGGCCACUUACGCUAAUACCGCAUACGACCUACGGGUGAAAGCAAGAGAUCUUCGGACCUUGCCCGAUUGUAUUAGCCGAUGUCGGAUUAGCUAGUUGGCGGGGUAAAGGCCCACCAAGGCGACGAUCCGUAGCUGGUCUGAGAGGAUGAUCAGCCACACUGGAACUGAGACACGGUCCAGACUCCUACGGGAGGCAGCAGUGGGGAAUAUUGGACAAUGGGCGCAAGCCUGAUCCAGCCAUACCGCGUGGGUGAAGAAGGCCUUCGGGUUGUAAAGCCCUUUUGUUGGGAAAGAAAAGCAGCAGGUUAAUACCCCGCUGUUCUGACGGUACCCAAAGAAUAAGCACCGGCUAACUUCGUG
rnacentral:rRNA from 1 species